GUUAAGCGACUAAGCGUACACGGUGGAUGCCCUGGCAGUCAGAGGCGAUGAAGGGCGUGCUAAUCUGCGAUAAGCGCCGGUAAGGUGAUAUGAACCGUUAUAACCGGCGAUACCCGAAUGGGGAAACCCAGUGUGAUUCGUCACACUAUCAUUAACUGAAUCCAUAGGUUAAUGAGGCGAACCGGGGGAACUGAAACAUCUAAGUACCCCGAGGAAAAGAAAUCAACCGAGAUUCCCCCAGUAGCGGCGAGCGAACGGGGAGGAGCCCAGAGCCUGAAUCAGCAUGUGUGUUAGUGGAAGCGUCUGGAAAGGCGCGCGAUACAGGGUGACAGCCCCGUACACAAAAGCGCAUGUGCUGUGAGCUCGAUGAGUAGGGCGGGACACGUGGUAUCCUGUCUGAAUAUGGGGGGACCAUCCUCCAAGGCUAAAUACUCCUGACUGACCGAUAGUGAACCAGUACCGUGAGGGAAAGGCGAAAAGAACCCCGGCGAGGGGAGUGAAAAAGAACCUGAAACCGUGUACGUACAAGCAGUGGGAGCCCCACCACUAAGCCAGUGGUGAACUCCACAUACG
rnacentral:rRNA from 1 species